rnacentral:rRNA from 1 species
UACGAAGGGGGCUAGCGUUGUUCGGAAUCACUGGGCGUAAAGGGCGCGUAGGCGGCCGAUCAAGUCGGGGGUGAAAUCCUGGAGCUCAACUCCAGAACUGCCUUUGAUACUGAAGAUCUUGAGUUCGGGAGAGGUGAGUGGAACUGCGAGUGUAGAGGUGAAAUUCGUAGAUAUUCGCAAGAACACCAGUGGCGAAGGCGGCUCACUGGCCCGAUACUGACGCUGAGGCACGAAAGCGUGGGAGCAACAGGG